ACUACACAGGCAGAGAGGGAGAGAGUAGAGAGGGUCAGUACUGCAGACAGCUGAAUGAUUAUACAGACUCGCUCAUAUUUACUGCGUGUUUUUACUGGAACUAAAUAUGUGAGAGUACUGCUGUUUGUGUGUGUGUGUGUGUGUGUGUGUGUGUGUGUGUGUGUGUUAGGGGGGCUGGGUGUGAGUGUGUAUGUGUGUGUUUCCCUUGAGCGCAUAGCUGUCGUGUGAUAGUGUAAAGGAAUAUCCAACAGUGUAUCUUCCACAUCUUCCACAUGCAUGCAAGGAUGGUAUAAAAUGAACAUACUGCUAUUAUUAAUCAAUUAUUCAUUAACCUCUCUGAGACAAUGGGCCUCAUGACCUUGAGCAGUAUACUUACUUGGGCUAGCAGCAACAGCUUUGUCUGUCUUUUUCUCUGAAAGAAAUCACAGCACAAUCAAAACAACUGCAAACACUUCGCUUAAUCUCCUCUUUAUUGCAGAAUGUUCCUUAGAACACAGAAAUAGAACUCCCAGAACAGAUGUUCCAUUCAAGACAACCCAGGGAUUAUUUUCAGGGUCCCCUACCUUCACAGUGUCCGUCGUGGUACACCUGGAUCUUGAGGCCGGUCAGGCAGGCGUCGCGGUGGAGCUCACAGUGGUUCCGGUACGUCUUACCAUUACUGCCACACACAGAGCGCUUGUGAGGUUUGCAUUGCUGAAGACAGAGAGAGAGAGUACACAUGUUUUCAAUCUGUGCAGUGAGACAUUUGGUUUUUGCCAGGAAGGUGUAUGUGUGUGUGCAUGUGUGUGGGUGGGUGUGUAUGCGCGCAUGCAUGCUCGUAAGUGUAUAUGUGUUUGUGUGAGCGCGUGCAUGCAUGCCUGUGUGUGUGUAUAGGCUAAGACUCACCUCGAUGCACAGGCAGGAAGGUUCCCCUUUCUCUGUCACAGCACACUCCCUGCCAGCCCCACAGAAUACAUUGGCACACACCUUGGACUUGCUCUUCCCCUCCUACAGGGACACAGAGACACAGAAGACAUGGGAGAUUAUACAGCUGAUGCCUUCUACUUGUGUGAUGAUGUCUAUAAACACAAAUUAACAUCUCCUCCCGCAAAGAAAUUGAGAUUACAUGACACUUCUUACAUGCAUUCUUCUAAUCUACAUGAUCAGAAAGAUACAAGGAAACACUAAGGAAAUUCACAAGAAUUAACAAUAAUAAGUAAUAGGGAAGGGUCCUUCUUUACUGCCGUAAGUAAACUACAGAGCGAUCUCAUUGAAGGUGGGUAUCGCCAUCUAGUGUUGACUAAAAUAGCUAGAUUUACAGGUAUAACAUUUGACCGGAAUGCAAUCAUUUUAGGUUUAUUUGAGCAAUAUGCAUUAUUAUACAGCUCCUGAGUAAUGUUAGAUUUGGAAAAAGGGUGAUUUUACUGGAACCUGGUCUACUUGGCUUGAGUCAGAUAACAUUGUAUUUGUAAAGACUGCACAAUUAAAUCAAUAAAAUAAUAUAAUAUUAUUGACAUUGAUAAUUUUCUGCUGUGAUCACAAGUAAAUGACCACAUUUUACUCACUGGCGUAUAAGACAGACAGACAGACAGACAGACAGACAGACAGACAGAGAGACAGACAGACAGACAGACAGACAGACAGACAGACAGACAGACAGACAGACAGACAGACAGACAGACAGACAGACAGACAUGAAGGCUGUCACUAGAUGGCGAAAUGCCCUUCACUUCCUAGCGGUAGGGUUUUCUAAUGUGUAUACCAUUACUGUAACACCCUGAUCUGGUUCACCUGUCCUUGUGAAUGUUUCCACCCCAUUAUUGUUUCCACCCCUCACUUAUUAUCCCCGGUGUAUAUAUCCCUGUAUUUCGUGUCUCUCUGUGCCAGUUUAUCUUGUUUGUCAACCAGCGGUUUUCCUUGCUCCUACUUUUCCCCAGUCUCUGUUUCUAGUCCUCCUGGUUUCGACACUUGCCUGUCCUAACUCCAAACCCGCCUGCCUGACCACUCUGCCUGUUCUGACUACCAGCCUGCCUAUCCCCUUGUGCUGUUUUGGACUCGGAUCUAGUUUCUGACCCCUGCCUGGCCUGACCUCGAGACUGCCUAUCGCCUGGUACUGUUUGGACUCUGACCUGGUUGAUGAACUCUCGCCUGUCCCCGACCUGCCUUUGCCUACUCCCUUUGUUAUAAUAAAAAUCGGAGCUCCACCAUC